rnacentral:rRNA from 1 species
UACGUAGGGUGCAAGCGUUAAUCGGAAUUACUGGGCGUAAAGCGUGCGCAGGCGGCUUUGCAAGACAGAUGUGAAAUCCCCGGGCUCAACCUGGGAACUGCAUUUGUGACUGCAUAGCUAGAGUGCGGCAGAGGGGGAUGGAAUUCCGCGUGUAGCAGUGAAAUGCGUAGAUAUGCGGAGGAACACCGAUGGCGAAGGCAAUCCCCUGGGCCUGCACUGACGCUCAUGCACGAAAGCGUGGGGAGCAAACAGG